UACGGAGGGUGCAAGCGUUAUUCGGAAUUACUGGGCGUAAAGGGCGCGUAGGCGGUCCAUUAAGUCAGGUGUGAAAUCCCGGGGCUUAACCCCGGAAGUGCAUUUGAUACUGGCGGACUUGAGUAUGGGAGAGGGAAGCGGAAUUCCUGGUGUAGCGGUGAAAUGCGUAGAUAUCAGGAGGAACACCGGUGGCGAAGGCGGCUUCCUGGACCAAUACUGACGCUGAGGCGCGAAGGCGUGGGUAGCAAACAGGAUUAGAUACCCUGGUAGUCCACGCGGUAAACGGUGAUCACUAGGUGUAGCGGGUAUUGACCCCUGCUGUGCCGAAGCUAACGCAUUAAGUGAUCCGCCUGGGAAGUACGGUCGCAAGAUUAAA
rnacentral:rRNA from 1 species